UACGGGGGGAGCAAGCGUUGUUCGGAUUUACUGGGCGUAAAGGGCGCGUAGGCGGUCAGCACAAGUCAGUUGUGAAAUCUCCGGGCUUAACUCGGAAAGGUCAACUGAUACUGUGCGACUAGAGUGCAGAAGGGGCAACUGGAAUUCUCGGUGUAGCGGUGAAAUGCGUAGAUAUGCGGAGGAACACCGAUGGCGAAGGCAGUCCCCUGGGCCUGCACUGACGCUCAUGCACGAAAGCGUGGGGAGCAAACAGG
rnacentral:rRNA from 1 species